rnacentral:piRNA from 1 species
UAUAUGGAUGGAAAGGCUAGAAGGUGGUU